rnacentral:lncRNA from 1 species
CACAGGAACAUUCCUAGAAAUACAAGAGAACCAAAAAACUGUUUUCAAACUUCUAUUGGAAGUAACAAGAGAUGGAGAAGAAACUACAGAACGGCAGCACAUGCCGAGCCUGCAGGAAGGAAAGAUCACUUGCCUCUAGCUGUUGAAUGGCAUUAAGGUGUCACAAUGCCUGGGCCAAAUGCAAAAUUUUCUCCAGCUGAGAUGAGUUUAAUUGAGGAUCAUCCUCCUGAACCCUCUUUGGAGAUUCUGAAAUUGUGCACUUCUAUACACAGGCAAUAUAAGGUCAGACAGCACAAAAGUUGUUUGCUUGCUUGCUUGUUUGUUUGUAUACUGCUUGUUCUAGGCAUCUAACAAAAACUGGAUGUUAUUUUAUUCAAUAUUGAGUUACCUGAUCAGAGUAUCCUGUCAGUCUGAAAAGGAAAAUGAAUGGUAGCAGUACCUUCAGUUUCAGCCUCUUCCUUGAUGCACCCCAAAGAUUCCCCACAGAAUACCUGCGGUAACUACUUUAAUAACAUUUCUGGCUAAUCUGUUAGUGAGAUGGGCAGGGAUCACCAUCAUACAGGUUCUGGGAGAGAAUGCAGUGAAGCCAGUUUUGCGUGUCUUCUGUUUGAAGCUGAUGGAAUAUAGAUAAUCAAAUUUUGCUCUGUUU